rnacentral:lncRNA from 1 species
AGGGAGGGAGGGAGGGAGGAAGGAAGGAAGGAAGGAAGGAAGGAAGGAAGGAAGGAAGGAAGGAAGGAAAGAGCUGCUGUCUGUCUAUCCAUCUAUCCAUCUACUUGUUGGUCCACAUAGUGUGGACAGAGGGAUCUGUGAGGGGCAGGACUUGGAUGAGCAUCUAGUGGGUGGCCCCCUUUUCCAUGGUGUCAGCAGCCAUGGGGAUGCUCCUGGGGUCUGGCUGGACCACCUCAAACCAAGUUGGGUGGCUUCUGCUCUUUUAGGACCAUCAGACGUAUGCACACACGCCUAGGCUCACACCCACAAGCACAAAUACACAUGGACAUCAGAGAAUGUAUGUGUUGAGAUAGUUGGUCUGAGGUCACUUGGAAAUGGUGGCCCCUAACCUGUGCCUGACUCUCACUCAGGCCCUGGAUCACCUGGGCCAGUCCAGACAGCUCUGCCUGGUCUGCACAGGAAAUAGACAGGGCUUUUCUUCCUGGCAGAGGACUGGAAUAAGCUGGGUGGCAAGCUGAAACCACUGGGUCCUCCAAGCUUUCUCAACUUCCUUUCUU